rnacentral:lncRNA from 1 species
GAAAUACCAGUUAUGUAUAUAUCCCUUCUGAUAUACACUCUGUGGGAGAGUGUAUCUUCCAGAUAUAUACCAUCCUACAUAUGCUUCUUACAAUGUAACAUCAACACUUCAGUCAAGAGGUGAAGUCUAUUAAACAUAUCUCAUUUCUUUCUCUUUCCUUUUCCUCAUUCUCUGACUUCUCUCUUUUAUCUUCAGCCACUCAUGGAACCCAGCCAGCCACUCUGCUGUCAGCAAGUCCACACUAGCCAUGUAGAAAAAUAACACGGAAAGUUCCACAUGGAGAGAAACUAACUCCCCCAUUCAAUAGCUAGUCAAAAAAACAACCAAGGAUAAGCAAUCCUUCAGAUGAGUCCAGCUUCCAGCCAUUGGGUCUUCCAACUGAGGCCUCAGAUACUGUGGAAAAGAGGAUGGAGAGAAGAAUGAACAUUAAGGAGGGAGUGAAGAUGAAGAAAAUGCAAAGAUACGUGCACCCUACUUCUUUAGGAAGGCUUCAAGAAACUGCCAUGGGAUACUGCUGCUUACAUCUCACUGGCAAGUGAUGUCACAUGGCUAUACCUACGUGCAUGGAAGGCUGACGUACAUGAUCUUUAUUCUGGGCUACUAUGAGCUCAGCUAAAAUUUCCAUUACCAUGGAAGAACAGGUUAGUACAUAUAUAGGAGCAACUAACUGUCUCUACUUAAUCAUGUCCACUGUCUCUUUACCAAUCUUUUUAACAAUAUUUACUUUUUUCUUUCAUUAUUAUCAAAGCUAUUUUUUAUAUUUGUUAUGUUAAAAUGUAUCAUCAAUACUUCUCAAAAUUGUAUUAUAAAAAAACAACUGUUUCAAGAAAUCCCUUCUAUACCCCCAGUUUUGCCCCAUAGAUGUAACUACUAGGAAUUCUUUGAGUAUUUCAUUUUUAAACUAUUUUUCAAGAAAAAUAGGUUUAUGCUGCCAUUGAAAAAAUGUUUUUGUUUUCUAAGUUUGAUAAGGAUAUGUGUUUUUCACCAUUAUUUUUCCUUGAGUCAUAUAUUUCCC